UGUAGUUAGGGAUGAGUUCGAUAAGGUUUGUGUGAUAUAAAUUGGGGUUAGUUUAAUUUUUUUGUGGUAAGAUUAGGAUUUAUGGUUAUUUGUUACAGACAUUUUUUUUUUUUGAAAAUCUGCCCUCUAAAUAUUACACAAUUUAUAGCUGCCCUACUAACAAAGCAUGCACCAAGAGGCCAUUAUGUAAGUCUUCUUACUUUUCAGCUUUGUUUCAGAUUGAUCAAACCAUGACAACCCGAAAUCUUUUUUAAGAUGUGCUAUGGCGUACACGCAAGACUUUUCUUCUUCGUACAAAUCUACCGUGUUCGGCAAAUUUAGUAACCCGUUACCUAAAAGCAAGCAUGAAUCAUUUUUGCACCACUCAUACUAAUUCAAGAUAAUUUUAUGAAUUCUAAAUACAUUUAAAAGAUAUCUUAAUUAUUGGUUCACGAGUAAGUUAAAAAUGUUUCAGUGUUGGGUUGAGAGAACAAUAAUUACGGUGCCUUUUUGUAGAAUGGCGAGAACGGUGGUGCUCCGUUUCGACGAUAACUCACUAUUAAUUACGUCCGUUUAUUAAUGACCGCUAUAUGUUAAUCUGACGGGAGGCCGUUUUUCUUGGCGCUUAUCGUUCCGGAGACCCGGAGCCGCGCCGUACGGUAAUCCGCAAACCUGAAAAUUAUACCGCACGAUACUCCGAACGCUGCGGCAACUCAGAGUAUCCGCGUUGUGUGCAUAUACGAAGGUGAAAUCGGGUUUCGUUUGCUGCUGGAAUUUUUGAUUUUCGUGAGUCGAUAAGAACAAUUAGCAUAUAAGGUUACCACCGAGGACUGUUAACGGUCGUAAUCGGUGGGUUCUGUUAAAAGAAAGGCAACAUUUGCAGUUAACUUGAAAUUCCAUUGUAUGCUAUAGAAAAUGUAUGACUUUAUUUUGUUAAAAAUAGUAACAUUCAGGAAAACUUAUCGUUUGUAUGCAGAAUGCAAAACGUUGACGACCGCACAGGAAAUUUUCAUAUGGCUUAAUACGUAUGUGUGUCACAAGUUUCGUCGUUGAGUACGUGUUCAUGCGGCGGCUACCGCCACCAGAAACACACACAACAAAGGCGACGUGAGAUAGUUCCACAGGAAGUGGCAUGUGUAAUUUCAUUCAUUCAUAACUUGUUAUGUCGACGGCGUCCACUCCGCGCUGUAGAUAAUCACGAGGAUAUAAAAAAAGUGUAAUGUGCACGUGGUGAGAAUUGUUAGAACCAGAUGUUCACAUUUUUCUAUUUAAUAAUAAAUAGACAUCUCGAGAAAACAUUUAACACACCAUUUCAACAUCACUUAUUCCUUAUAAUGUUGCAAAAAAUGUUGGAAACACUACUUAAAAUGCUAAAAAGAUUUUGUUGUCGUAAGAUUCUGAAAAACCUUCAAUAUAUCAAAACAUGUCAAGUAUUUUUGAAAUUACUUGAGAGUUUGAAAUUUAUUUAUGCACAUUACAAAGAUUAGCAAAUAGGCAUAACUUUGAAACUACACAACUUUAUGUUCUUAUCAACAUGGAAUUUUCAGUAUGCAUUUUAAAAUAAGGUUAAUCGAUAAAGGUGAGAAAGAAGUGGAAUAACAAAGACGAGUCGACAAAAAAAUAAAAUAAAAAAUAAGUUAGCUGCCGCUCAAUUAGGUUGGUAAAAAUUCCAGUAAAGCGACGAGAUAAAUUAAUAGUGUCUGUCGGUUAGAAAGAUAACGCUGUCACUCCACGACCCUUUUCUACGAUUAAUUAUGAGUUUCGAAAUUGGGCGAAGGAAAACAAUUAAAUUUCGAGCUUGGAUCAUUUGUUUUACGAGAGUUAGUCGAGGCCGAGAUGGCCGAUAAGAAUGCGUUCGCCAUAAAUCACUCCCAGAAGGCGGCGGGGAAAAAAUGGACCUCGAGAAAAUGUUAAACAAUCUCCGGUCUCUUCUCUACCUGAUGGAUGACCGGCUACUGGUUUUCACAUCAUCAGAAAAGGGAACCGACAGAGAGAACGCGGGCCCCCAGAACUAAUCUUCGCUAUGCAGCUCGUAAAAUAAAUUUUCCGGACACAAUAUACCAUAAAAACAUAAUAUUGUGCUCUGGCUGGGAGCCUUUUGUUCGUUGGGUGAAUUAUUGCCGAAAUGCCGACAGUAUAAUAAUAGCCAUCCGUCUCACGUCCGCUUUAUUUCCCCUGUUACUACUGCUCCAAAUAGCAACAAGCAGUACCACCACGGUGGUAAAUCGUGGCAGCAAGAAUCGAUUAUGCAAGUAAUCUUAAAGAAAUGUCACAACAAGAAUGUCGUCCUUACGUCCCUUAGGAAUUGCCGUGUUGUAGUCGUCGUCGUCGUUGUCGUCGUCCAAGUAGCAUUGUAUUUAAAAUUGAUAUUUCCCGUUAGCGUUUCGAGCAGAUGCUUAUCUGUUCUUGUCAUUUCAAUGUAUUACCGCAGAUUGAAAAGUGACUGACAAGCCGUACGCCGAAGGCCUGGAGUAAAUCCUAAUAAAGGAGCGCAGAUAGAGCUGAGCGAACGAACGACCGCUCUCGCUGCUACCCGGACAGGAGAAAAAGAGGAGCCGCUGAUGCCGCUGCUUGCUGCUGCAGUUGCUGUUGCUCCUGUCGGCAUCCAGUCUCCCCGAUGCUAACGAUAGCUUAUCGAGGAAUUUAAAAAUAAUUACGGCGAACAACGAGCCGACCGAAGCACGUCAGUCCAUCAAUGCCGACUAUAACGAGUCGGAGUGCUCGUCGGAUGCGCCUCUGACGAUCAUCCCAGAUACCAAGAGAAGGGCAACAGAAUGCAACAGGAAUAUUAAAUCAUACCCUACUACGAGACGAUGCACUCAAAAACACAUCAAUCCCUAAGCGCGGCCGCUUUUUGAGUAUGGAUAAGGCAAAAGCUCUCUCACCAAUUACUAAAUGUUCGCACAGCUUAUCUACAACACCGAGGAUUGAAUCAAUCCUUUUGAGAGCUGCUUCUCGUAUUUUCCCCAGAUGUUGGAAUGUUGAUGGCACUCAUUUAUAACUCUUUAAUAACAUUAGAAAGCUUAAUUAUAUGAAAAAGAAAUGGUUCAACUAAUUUAAUGGACGGUUAUAACUGGAAAGAGAGUUCGAUACAAGAAACAGAUAGUAACUUAUAUACCUAGGAGGUAUUAACAACAUCAUAAAAACUGUACAGAAAUAAAUUUGUUCUUGGAAGGUUAAUGAUGGUGUAACGACAAUGAUCAAUAACACUAUUACAGGUUAUAGCUUAUAAUCUGAAGCGAUUCCCGCACCUCAAACCUAACGGGUAGCCUACAUUUCUUACUGGAGGAGCAAUCAGCAAGAUUGAUUGCAUCCACCUAACGACUUCAUCGGACGACGACUCUUAUUACACAGCUCGUGGAACGUAACUCACGUUAUAAUCACCUGCCUAUUCUCUUAUUAAUCUUGAAAACAUCUUCGUCGUCCUCCGGGGUAAAGAAGGCCAUCUGUUUAACUUCAUCGUUGCCAUAUUAACGACCAUUUGAUUACACCUUACCGACUUGAAAGAAUCUUUUUUUAAUUCCAACCCUGAGGCGCCUUCAGAAAGGAAGACGAAGAAACGGCCAAGCAGAAGGAAAAGGAGAAAGGUUGGUAGCAGGAGAAAAACGCCUGUACUUCCCGUUCCCAAUUACGACGGUAGCGUUGGCAUUAAAGAUGGGUCUGCACAUGUCGAGAAGGCGGAGUCAGAGGUCAGUGGGCCGGCCCGAGAGCGGUGACGUCGCGAGUCAAGAUGGCGGGCACACGUCCCUGUCGCAGCAGGAAUUGCAGUCACCGGUAUCGGCGUGCGAGUGGCGGCAACAAGCAGACUGGAGAGAGGUCUGCAGAAAAGAGAGGCGGCGCCGCCGCGGGAGGGCCAAAGGGGGGACACCACCGCAGGAGGACGUAAAUAACCCCUGCGAGAUCUCAUUUCGCGACCCGGCUUGAUGCUGUUGUCGCUCGUAAAGCGGCCAUAAAUCCUGCGGGCUAUGAACUCCCUUGGAGAAAGGAGCUCGCGAUGAAUGGGCCACCUCUUCCUCCAACAACCUUACCGAAACUUAACCCCCACAUAAAUCUAUUUAAUUGGUACCAUAAAUAUAGAUAUUUAGAUAUUUAUGCUUAUUCAUUCUGACUAAUUAGAAGUUGAUCCAAAACUUUCUCCUCAAAAUCUACACACAAUCGAAUUGAAUAUCUUGUCUAUCACGCUUGAUGGAAAGUUAUGUGUUAUGUAUGAAAGUUUUGUUUUCAAUGUCUAAGAACAUAUCUUGACGAAGAAGAAGUGUUCUGAUCGCGAGGAUUCGUUCUGUCUCGUUCUGGUGCUCGUUAGAGUAGUGAGUAAUGUGAUCGCGAUCGAGCCCGUUGUCGAAGUCGAUAAAAUGAUUUGUUUAGGCGAGUGGGAACGUCGACGGUAUCUGGACGUGGUCGGGGGGAGCUGACUGCUGAGGCAUUAAUCAUACAUCUGGCGCGCGGCGAAAGUUGAAAGAAGACAUUACGGUAACGAAUGGGGUCAAGUCGGGGCCGAAACACAACCAACGUUCCGACAACACGACGGCGCGGCGGCGCGUUGUUACAGUAUCGCCGCGUACAUCUCGAAUUGGCCCCGCGCAGUUAACAGAGGGUGUGGAGCGGUG